rnacentral:rRNA from 1 species
UACGUAGGACCCAAGCGUUAUCCGGAUUGACUGGGCGUAAAGAGUUGCGUAGGUGGUAAUUCAAGCGAAUGGUGAAAUCUUGUGGCUCAACCAUAAGGCUAUUAUUCGAACUGUAUUACUCGAGAACAGGAGAGGUAUCUGGAAUUCCCAGUGUAGGAGUGAAAUCCGUAGAUAUUGGGAGGAACACCAAUGGCGUAGGCAGGAUACUGGACUGUUUCUGACACUAAGGCACGAAAGCGUGGGGAGCGAACUGG